rnacentral:rRNA from 1 species
GAAGACGACGAGGUAGAUAGGUUGGGGGUGGAAGUGCAGUAAUGCAUGGAGCUGACCAAUACUAAUCGGUCGAGGGCUUAUCCUAA